AUCUGCCGCUUUUUCCGCUGUUGUGAAAGGGCUGCAUUACAGUCUGUUAACUCAGUAAUGAUGGUGGCCGAAAUUCCAGAACACAUUCUCUUUCCAGGUGGGCCCAAAUUUUCAUCCUCAGCACCUCUUUUUCCAUUGCUAAUAGCAGAGACAUUGGUGGUUGUAGCAGCUGCUGUUGCUAAAAUAGGCAUCUGCCUUUCAGCUUGUGCAAGCAAUGACCUUGCUUCAUCCCUUUCCUUUUUAAGUCUUGUAAUCACUCGGCAAGCAGCAUCAUGCUGGU
rnacentral:misc_RNA from 1 species